rnacentral:rRNA from 1 species
UACGUAGGGUGCAAGCGUUGAUCGGAAUUACUGGGCGUAAAGCGUGCGCAGGCGGUUUUGUAAGCCGGAUGUGAAAUCCCCGGGCUUAACCUGGGAAUGGCAUUCGGGACUGCAAGGCUGGAGUGCGGCAGAGGAGACUGGAAUUCCUGGUGUAGCAGUGAAAUGCGUAGAUAUCAGGAGGAACACCGAUGGCGAAGGCAGGUCUCUGGGCUGACACUGACGCUCAUGCACGAAAGCGUGGGGAGCAAACAGG